GACGAACGCUGGCGGCGUGCUUAACACAUGCAAGUCGAACGGAAAGGCCCUGCUUGCAGGGUACUCGAGUGGCGAGCGGGUGAGUAACACGUGGGUGAUCUGCCCUGCACUUCGGGAUAAGCCUGGGAAACUGGGUCUAAUACCGGAUAGGAGCCAUUUUUAGUGUGAUGGUUGGAAAGUUUUUUCGGUGUAGGAUGAGCUCGCGGCCUAUCAGCUUGUUGGUGGGGUAAUGGCCUACCAAGGCGGCGACGGGUAGCCGGCCUGAGAGGGUGGACGGCCACAUUGGGACUGAGAUACGGCCCAGACUCCUACGGGAGGCAGCAGUGGGGAAUAUUGCACAAUGGGCGCAAGCCUGAUGCAGCGACGCCGCGUGGGGGAUGACGGCCUUCGGGUUGUAAACUCCUUUCGCUAGGGACGAAGCUUUUUGUGACGGUACCUAGAGAAGAAGCACCGGCUAACUACGUG
rnacentral:rRNA from 1 species